AUAUACAUGCACAAAAAGUUUUGGAAUUGGUGGAAAAAAAUAUCCAAAGUUGCAGUGUGGCGCACCGACUUUAAGGAGAAAGCCAGAAGCUUUGAGUAAGUUGUUAAACCGACAUGGACAAGCUAUAUAAACAAAAAAUUAGGCUGCCAGGUAAUCUGAGCUACUCAAUAGAGUAGAGUAGGCUCUGGAGAAAGAGCUAUUAUGUUAGAGUCAGUAAAGAAUAAAGAGUGGUGUUGAAGAGUUUAAAUUGCUAUUAUGCGUAUUUAUUCUCUCUCCUUCUUUUUGGGUCUCUCAGCUCUUUCCCUCCUCAGCCCAAGGAUCGCCACUUCCUGUACACUGAAGCCGACGGCCAACACCAUGUCGACUAUAAGAGAUGUAGAUGUCGUAAAAGGCUCAGCCAUUGUAGAUGAAUAAAACCAAAAUAAAUAUAAGGAGAGUAUUUGAUUGUAGUUACAGCAGUUGUAAGUAAUCAAGUCCACCUCGAAUAGGCUAUGUAUAAGUGAUAAAAGAGAAAGUAUUACAACAAUAUUAGUUACAA